CCUACGGGAGGCAGCAGUGAGGAAUAUUGGUCAAUGGACGAGAGUCUGAACCAGCCAAGUAGCGUGAAGGAUGACUGCCCUAUGGGUUGUAAACUUCUUUUAUAAAGGAAUAAAACGAGGCACGUGUGCCUUUUUGCAUGUACUUUAUGAAUAAGGAUCGGCUAACUCCGUGCCAGCAGCCGCGGUAAUACGGAGGAUCCGAGCGUUAUCCGGAUUUGUUGGGUUUAAAGGGAGCGUAGAUGGGUUGUUAAGUCAGUUGUGAAAGUUUGCGGCUCAACCGUAAAAUUGCAAUUGAUACUGGCAGUCUUGAGUACAGUUGAGGUAAGCGGAAUUCGUGGUGUAGCGGUGAAAUGCUUAGAUAUCACGAAGAACCCCGAUUGCGAAGGCAGCUUACUAAACUGUGACUGACAUUGAUGCUCGAAAGUGUGGGUAUCAAACAGGAUUAGAUACCCGGGUAGUC
rnacentral:rRNA from 1 species